GAUCAGCCACACUGGGACUGAGACACGGCCCAGACUCCUACGGGAGGCAGCAGUGGGGAAUCUUGCGCAAUGGGCGAAAGCCUGACGCAGCAACGCCGCGUGAGGGACGAAUGUUCUUUGAAUUGUAAACCUCUUUCAGUAGGGACGAUAAUGACGGUACCUACAGAAGAAGCACCGGCCAACUACGUGCCAGCAGCCGCGGUGAUACGUAGGGUGCAAGCGUUGUCCGGAUUUAUUGGGCGUAAAGGGCUCGUAGGCGGUUCGACAAGUCGGGUGUGAAACCCCCAGGCUCAACCUGGGGACGCCACUCGAAACUGUCGUGACUAGAGUUUGGUAGGGGUCAACGGAACUCCUGGUGUAGCGGUGGAAUGCGCAGAUAUCAGGAAGAACACCAGUAGCGAAGGCGGUUGACUGGGCCAAUACUGACGCUGAGGAGCGAAAGCGUGGGGAGCGAACAGGAUUAGAUACCCUGGUAGUCCACGCCGUAAACGGUGGGCACU
rnacentral:rRNA from 1 species